UAGGGAAUCUUCCACAAUGGGCGAAAGCCUGAUGGAGCAACGCCGCGUGUGUGAUGAAGGGUUUUCGGCUCGUAAAACACUGUUGUAAGAGAAGAAUGACAUUGAGAGUAACUGUUCAAUGUGUGACGGUAUCUUACCAGAAAGGAACGGCUAAAUACGUGCCAA
rnacentral:rRNA from 1 species